AAACCGCAUCAUUUCGUCUCUGUUUGUCAGCCAGCGCUGCGGCUCUUCCUCUUGCGCGGGGAAUCAGGCACCCGGGGAGCUCUUGCGGCUCGCAAGUAGCCGUGCUCGUCGGUGAGUACCCGAGAUGAAAUGAAUGAAUUUCAUGGUAAUCGGUUACAUUGGAACACGAAUACUACUCAGACCAUGGAUGACCAUGUAACAGUUACCGGGAUACGAUUGCACCAAAAGGGCACUUAUAGGGGACAAUUAUUUUUACUCACGGGAAACAGAAUUUCGAUUGUUAGCACUAAAAAAAUGCUUGGUGUGUAGUUUGAAAACCACAGACAUUAAUAAAACAUUAUUUACUGCACUGUAUUUAAUUUGUGCUCUUGACAGAUUUAUUUACAAAAAAACAUCCCCGGAUUCUCGUAGGUUUAUUUUUAUAUGCAAUGAAUUGAAAUACUCAAUUGCUAUAUAAUUCAGAAAAUUAUAAUUUGUGUUCAAAAUAAAAAAAGUCAACAUCCAAUGUAUUACAAUUAUUUUCCAUCGCCAAUUUGUGUUCUAGUAUAGCUUAGCUCAUGCCCAGAGCACGUCCUACGACUGCUGAUUCACUCGCCUUACUAGAAGCAACAGACACUUGCCCUUGCGGUUACUGGCUUCUUCACAAACACUUUAGAGAUGUGUACAAUAGCGAACUGUUACCAGCUGUACACAUCGAAUGGCGCUAUAUCGUCAAUUGGUGAGUUCUACGGCGGAUGCUAAACGGCGGUCUCUGACUCCGUUCAUACCUUGCGCUACGCAAUCGGCCGUUUUCGUGGAAACGUUUGGGUGUACGAAAAAAAACAGUUUCAUUCUACUGAGCACAGAAAUUCCACACCAUGAAUGAACAGAGAGCAUCGGUUGUUACUCGUUCUUUCUCACUCGGGCACACGUGGUACUACAUUUCCGGUCAUGUCCAAACACCCUCGCCACCAGCGUCACACACGCAUGGAUAGGUGGUUACUCGUGUGAACUCAGCGACACCCACGCUAUUCGGGUUGCAGAACUCGCGAGAGUUUGUGUCAUUUCUCGUCGAAUUUUCUCGCAUCAUCCCAGCCAUCAAAAAUGUUUCGCACUAGAGCAAGAGCUGCGCGUUGCGCAACAUUCGUCCCCACUGGAACCGAUCUGAAGGAGCUCCACCAUCCACAGUGCCAGCAGCCUUCGUUAAACGCACAUUCCAGAAAGGAUUGUUUAUGGGCCUCUGCCUCGCAUCGCCGGCUACCGCAGCACGAAGUCACAUAGGUUCGGUUUACGAGAAACAAAGCAGAAGCAGAUUGGACACGAGAGGAAAUCUGAUCAGAAUCAUAAUCACAGUUUGCUAUUUGUGCUCCGCUCUUGUCGAGCAAAACCUGUAUGUGUGUACAAUCAUUUAUCACUGUCAGUGUUGCUGCUAACGUUUUCUGAGCCCAUUUGAAGUUUAGUAAAACAACCCCAUAACGCAUAGGAAUAGAAUAUGCCCUGUUGAAAACAAUAUACUAUACGAAAUUAAAUACUAUAUUCUUUUCUAAUAAGUCAUGGUAUAUAAUAAGUCUAUAAUAAGUACUAAUAAUAAUUGAAACGUAAAACUCGUUCAUUUCUUAAGAGGCGAAUGAGGCCAAUUGGCUCAAAGUCUCUAUUAAAAAAAAGAAGAAAAAAAAGUUCAUUUC